AUAACGCUGGCGGCAUGCUUACACCUCAAGUUAACGGCAGCACGGGAGCAAUCCUGGUGGCGAGUGGCGAACGGGUGAGUAAUAUAUCGGAACGUGCCCAGUCGUGGGGGAUAACGCAGCGAAAGCUGUGCUAAUACCGCAUACGAUCUAUGGAUGAAAGCGGGGGAUCGCAAGACCUCGCGCGAUUGGAGCGGCCGAUAUCAGAUUAGCUAGUUGGUGGGGUAAAGGCCCACCAAGGCGACGAUCUGUAGCUGGUCUGAGAGGACGACCAGCCACACUGGAACUGAGACACGGUCCAGACUCCUACGGGAGGCAGCAGUGGGGAAUUUUGGACAAUGGGCGCAAGCCUGAUCCAGCAAUGCCGCGUGCAGGAUGAAGGCCUUCGGGUUGUAAACUGCUUUUGUACGGAACGAAACGGUGAGCUCUAAUAAAGCUUGCUAAUGACGGUACCGUAAGAAUAAGCACCGGCUAACUACGUGCCAGCAGCCGCGGUAAUACGUAGGGUGCGAGCGUUAAUCGGAAUUACUGGGCGUAAAGCGUGCGCAGGCGGUUAUAUAAGACAGAUGUGAAAUCCCCGGGCUCAACCUGGGACCUGCAUUUGUGACUGUAUAGCUAGAGUACGGUAGAGGGGGAUGGAAUUCCGCGU
rnacentral:rRNA from 1 species